GACGAACGCUGGCGGCGUGCUUAACACAUGCAAGUCGAACGGAGUGGCGAACGGGUGAGUAACACGUGGGUAAUCUGCCUUGCACCUCGGGAUAAGUAUGGGAAACGGGGUCUAAUACCGGAUAUUGCCUCAUGUGAUCGUGGCCUAUCAGCUUGUUGGUGGGUUAAUGGCCUACCAGGGCGUCGACGGGUCGCCGGCCUGAGAGGGUGUACGGACACAUUGGGACUCGGGUACGGCCCAGACUGCUACGGGCGGCAGCAGUGGGGAAUAUAGCGCAAUGGGCGGAAUCCUGAUGCAGCGUCUCCGGGUGGGGGAUGUAGGCUGUCGGGUUGUAAUCUCCGUACGACAGGAACGCGGUACCUGACUAAGAAGCACCGGCUAACUACGUGCCAGCAGCCGCGGUAAUUC
rnacentral:rRNA from 1 species